UGUUUAUUUUUUUGAAGAUAUCAUAAAUAUCAAUAAUAUCUGAUGUUGCACAUUUUUCAAUUGAUUAUUUUUUAAUAUAUAAAUGACAUACAAAAGAAAGAGCGAAGAAUUUUCCAUAAUCGCAUAAAAGGAAAUGAUGCAUUCAUCGACUUAGAUCCAAUAGUAAAAAAGGAAUUCCCAAUUUCAUCAGGUCGCACAGCUACAUCUAUAAGUAUCUAAGAGGUAACGAGGAGUCAUUCUGAUGCAAUAGAGAGACAACGCGAGUCACGAUCGGUCAAGAGGAUUUCCUAUUGAAAUACCGUUGAUGAUGAAUUGAUGAUUAGAUGAAAUUGCAUUUCCGCAACUAUCAUUUUUUUCUGACCGCGAUACCUUAUCUCCAUCAAUAAGAAAAAUUAGCUAUAAGUUAGCUAUUACUCAUCCAAAAAUAUUGAAUGAAACAGAUGAGAUCGAAGAAUGUGAAAUAAAAGUCAAUAGAAGAUAAAAAAAUAUGUGAUGAUAAUUUUUUGUGAUUCUUGAUUAUUUUACCUUGACCAAGAUAUAGCUUUCUCUGUACAUUUUUAUUAUCUUUGCAAUAAUA